AUACGGAGGGGACUAGCGUUGUUCGGAAUUACUGGGCGUAAGGAGUUCGUAGGCGGACUGAUAAGUAAGAGGUGAAAUCCCAGGGCUCAACCCUGGAACUGCCUUUUAAACUGUCAGUCUAGAGACCGGAAGAGGUUAGGGGAAUACCUAGUGUAGAGGUGAAAUUCGUAGAUAUUAGGUGGAACACCAGUGGCGAAGGCGCCUAACUGGUCCGGUACUGACGCUGAGGAACGAAAGCGUGGGGAGCAAACAGGAUUAGAUACCCUAGUAGUCC
rnacentral:rRNA from 1 species